rnacentral:rRNA from 1 species
UACGAAGGGUGCAAACGUUGCUCGGAAUUAUUGGGCGUAAAGCGCACGUAGGCGGCUUGACAAGUCGGAUGUGAAAUCCCUCGGCUCAACCAAGGAAGUGCAUCCGAAACUGACGGGCUUGAGUACUUAAGAGGAUCGCGGAAUUCCCGGUGUAGAGGUGAAAUUCGUAGAUAUCGGGAGGAACACCAGUGGCGAAGGCGGCGAUCUGGGAAGAUACUGACGCUGAGGUGCGAAAGCGUGGGGAGCAAACAGG